rnacentral:rRNA from 1 species
CCUACGGGUGGCAGCAGUGGGGAAUAUUGCACAAUGGUCGUAAGCCUGAUGCAGCAACGCCGCGUGAGCGAAGAAGGCCUUCGGAUCGUAAAGCUCUGUCCUUGCGGAAGAAGGAAGUGACGGUACUCAAGGAGGAAGCCCCGGCAAACUACGUGCCAGCAGCCGCGGUAAUACGUAGGGGGCAAGCGUUAUCCGGAACUAUUGGGCGUAAGGAGUACGUCGGUGGUUUUGUAAGCGCGGGGGGAAAGGCAGGGGCUUAACCAUUGUAAGCCUUGCGAACUGCAAGACUUGAGUGCAGGAGAGGAAAGCGGAAUUCGUGGUGUAGCGGUGAAAUGCUUAGAUAUUAGGAGGAACACCAGUGGCGAAGGCGGCUUUCUGGACUGUAACUGACACUGAGGUACGAAAGCGUGGGGAGCAAACAGGAUUAGAUACCCUUGUAGUC